rnacentral:rRNA from 1 species
AUGCCACGCGGCUUGGAGUUCAACUAUCACAACAACCGCUUGUUUGUACGGUCAAUUUUCCGGACUUCAAGCUUCGUGCACUGCGUUCCGUUCGUGCAUGUCAUGACUGCCACAAAUACUGAGAAGUUCACCAUGAAAAUUCCAAAGCUCGUUGUCUUUAGCUUGAGGAACUUUGUUGACAUGCCAAUCAGUGCUAGAAUCUCUCUGGAAGCUUACCUGGGUGAUACACAUGUUAUCAUGCCAUCAUCUUUCAAGCUGUGCAAGCAACAUGGGAGGAUGGUGAUCGAGAAGACCAGUUUCAGCGAGUUCAUCUCAGCCACUUCAUAUGCAAAUGACAAUAAAAUGGCUAGUGACACCAAUGAUUCGGAAGACAACAAAGGGAUGUACUGCGACGAUGAUCUAGAUGAAACCUUUGCUUCGCAAAGCCAGUUUAAAGAAGGACAAACUCAGUUUCUUGAUGUAGGUGGUGGAGACCCACAGUUUGAUGUCAAAAAUUUCCUGAACAACUUGCGAAAUUUGUUUUACUCAUCAAAUGACAAUGCCAAUUCUUCUAAGAAUCUCUGCCGUGCCCCACUUCCUACAAAGAAGGCAACGAGCAGGUGUAAUCAUGGCUAUUUCAGUGAUCUGCUCAAGAAAAUUCCACCAUCAAGAUUAGAUGUCAUAAAAAAUUAUGGUUGCUCUUUUAUUCUUGAUUUUGAGUGCAAUUCAGUACCAAGAGGUUUUGCACAAUGGAUAGCAGGGAAAGUAAAUCCACCUGCUGGUGACAUAGUUCUCGACAGUAAAGUCACUCCAAUGAGCCCUGAAUCAUUUCAUCUACUGCUUGGUCUUCCAUUAGGUGGCACCUCAGUUUUAUUUCACAGUGAGGUUGCAAAAGCAACUUUCCUCAAUAUUAUUGGUGAACCUACAGUGCCUUCUAUCAAGUGGUUUGGGUUGAGAAUGCUUAAGCCUGAUAUAUCUGACAUUGAUUUUAUGAGAUGUUUUCUUCUAGUUGCCUUUGCAACCGUUCUGUGCCCCAACUCAAAUAUCUACCCCCAAAAAAAAAAAAUACCUAGGAAUUCUUAUUGA